UGGGCUCGAACGGCUGUGGACAGUCGGUGGAAACACUGGCCUUCCCGCAAGGGACUGCAGUCGAGGUGCUGCAUGGCUGUCGUCAGCUCGUGUCGUGAGAUGUUGGGUUAAGUCCCGCAACGAGCGCAACCCUUGCCCUGUGUUGCCAUGCCGAAAGGCGGAACUCGCAGGGGACCGCUACCGAUAAGGUGGAGGAAGGUGGGGAUGACGUUUCUAGGAGGGUG
rnacentral:misc_RNA from 1 species